UAAUGGGACCUGAGAUUGGUUAUUCGACAACUCCAAUCAUUCUAGUCCAGUGUGCCCUAAUGUUGCUCAAGGAACGAGGCAAUCUUCCAAAAGGCGGUGUUUUCCCUCCUGGGAUUGUGUUUGGCCCGACUGACCUCCAAGAUAGGCUUCAAGAGAAUGGAAUAUCUUUUGAUGUUAUUUCAAAGAAAAUUGUCUAACGAAAUCAUAGUUCCCUGCUGUUAGUCGUAUGAAAUGGUUGUUUGACAUUAUAUAAUUAGGUCUGUCAAGUCCUGUGUAUCUUGAUUUCUUGCUAAAGUAGCGAAGGCAAGCCUCAAUCCUCCAAAAUUUCAACCCUCUCCAAUAGACAGAUUUUGAAUUUUAAGUUUGUGUUUUGGAUUCUAAGAGGGGUGACAUUGGCCGAUUCAGAUUGGAAUAGAUAAGAAAUUAA
rnacentral:misc_RNA from 1 species